rnacentral:rRNA from 1 species
AUUGAACGCUGGCGGCAGGCCUAACACAUGCAAGUCGGGCCAGCGGCGGAAGGGUGAGUAAAGUAUGGGGACUGCCCGAUAGAGGGGGAUAACUACAGGAAACGGUAGCUAAUCCCGCAUACUAUCGGAAAACCCAUAUGGGAUUAGAUAGUAGGUGAGGUAAUGGCUCACCUAGGCGACGAUCCCUAGCUGGUCUGAGAGGAUGAUCAGCCACACUGUGACUGAGACACGGCCCAGACGCCUACGGAGGCAGCAGGAGGGAAUAUUGCACAAUGGGCGCUAGCCUGAUGCAGCCAUGCCGCGUGUAUGAAGAGGGCCCUAGGGUUGUAAAGUACGUUCAGUCGGGAGGCGUUACCGACAGAAGAAGCACCGGCUAACUCGGUGCCAGCAGCCGCGGUAAUAC